GGGACAAUAGGUAAAUGGCUUAUACCGUGCGGCUCCAGACCGCAAAUUGGGGGUUCGAUUCCCUCUUGUCCCA
rnacentral:tRNA from 1 species